UACGUAGGGGGCUAGCGUUGUCCGGAUUUAUUGGGCGUAAAGAGCGUGUAGGCGGCCAGGUAGGUCUGCUGUGAAAACUCGAGGCUCAACCUCGAGAUGUCGGCGGAAACCAUCUGGCUAGAGUCCGGAAGAGGAGAGUGGAAUUCCUGGUGUAGCGGUGAAAUGCGCAGAUAUCAGGAAGAACACCCGUGGCGAAGGCGGCUCUCUGGGACGGUACUGACGCUGAGACGCGGAAGCGUGGGGAGCGAACAGG
rnacentral:rRNA from 1 species